rnacentral:lncRNA from 1 species
CCAUGCCUGGAGAUGAUCUUGGGGGAAUCGCAAAACUACGAUGAUCUGGGCCACUUGGCCUGUCCCUCGUGUUUGCAGAACGUUUGGCUGCUUACCGGGCUUCUGGCAAAACCCCCAAGAGCAGUUUGUAAACAGACCGCAAGCAGCGUGGGGAAGGGCUGUGUCACGGGAGCGAGACAGUGGGACGACAAGGGUCCACAUGAAUCUGGGUCAGCCCAGGGGGUGUGCCAGGUGAAGAAGGCCUGUGAGCUCCAGCCCAUGCCCCAGACUGUGCCUCAGGAGGAAUGCAUCCCUAUUUGGGCAGUUUUGGGUGUGGAACUGGCCAGCACCUCCCUAGGAGGGGAUAAAAUUUAUCCCAUUCCAAGUCUGAUAAGCUCUGACCUGCUUGGAAACUGCUUGAAUUCAUCCUCUCCUCCACAGAGGGGUAGAACCUCAUAGAAUCACGGAAGGAGCUGAGAUCUCUUGGGGGCUUCUAAUCCACCUGGAAAAAAUGCAUUCCCAAAUGCCAACAGACCUGCAGAUAUUUGGGGAAUAAACAGCAUAAGCAAGUGAGAAGAUGAACACAGAUGGACGAAUCCUGUGAGGCACGUGGAUCCUGAAUGAGCCUUUUAUUCAUACCCUGGAGGGGGCGGGAGAGGGAACCGUUCCCCAAAACAGAAGCCGGCUGCAAUGAGAAGGGACGAUACAGAUGGCGGUUGGAUGUUUCCUGACGUCAGUGCUGUUCUGGAGAUGGAAGAAAGUCGACACAGGGGCUGAAUGGUCGUGCAGAGAUGGCAUACACCAUAAUGAAUGACGCAGCAGAGAGACAAAUUUGUGUGAUGCGGAACAAGGUACAGAUGUAGACAGAUGAAGACAGCAGCCUUCAGAAAGCCGGAGUGGUGGUGUCUCCCUCGGGUGGCCAUGCACGAGGUUGUCACCUCUGGAGCAGGUGCUGCUGGCAUAGGGCUGGUGGAGACCAGAGAUGUUGGUCAAUGCCCCACGGCUCACAGGACAUCCCAUGUGGUCCAGUCCCAGAUGCCAAGAGUACCAAGGCUGAGAGACUCUGGGUGAGAUCCAACAGAUCCAAUCCACCUUAAUAAAAUGUUUCAAAAAACAGAGUAAAGAGAGACACAAUGACUGGAGAAAACACAGAGAAAUUAUGUCUGCACGCAUCUGUGUGCAUAAUAUUGUAC